GUACGCUUCGAGUGAGCGGCGGACGGGUGAGUAACGCGUGGGAACCUGGCUCUUGGUGCGGAAUAGCUUCGGGAAACUGGAGGUAAUACCGCAUACGCCCCUUGGGGGAAAGAUUUAUCGCCGAGAGAUGGGCCCGCGUAGGAUUAGCUUGUUGGUGAGGUAACGGCUCACCAAGGCAACGAUCCUUAGCUGGUUUGAGAGGAUGAUCAGCCACACUGGGACUGAGACACGGCCCAGACUCCUACGGGAGGCAGCAGUGGGGAAUCUUGGACAAUGGGCGCAAGCCUGAUCCAGCCAUGCCGCGUGAGUGACGAAGGCCUUAGGGUUGUAAAGCUCUUUCGGCGGGGACGAUAAUGACGGUACCCGCAGAAGAAGCCCCGGCUAACUCCGUGCCAGCAGCCGCGGUAAUACGGAGGGGGCUAGCGUUGUUCGGAAUUACUGGGCGUAAAGCGCGCGUAGGCGGUCCAUCAAGUUGGGGGUGAAAGCCCGAGGCUCAACCUCGGAACUGCCCUCAAAACUGAUGGACUGGAAUAUCGGAGAGGCAGGCGGAAUUCCCAGUGUAGAGGUGAAAUUCGUAGAUAUUGGGAAGAACACCGGUGGCGAAGGCGGCCUGCUGGACGAUUAUUGACGCUGAGGUGCGAAAGCGUGGG
rnacentral:rRNA from 1 species